UACGAAGGGGGCUAGCGUUGCUCGGAAUUACUGGGCGUAAAGGGCGCGUAGGCGGAUGUCUAAGUUGGGGGUGAAAUCCCGGGGCUCAACCUCGGAAUUGCCUUCAAAACUGGGCAUCUUGAGUUCGGGAGAGGUGAGUGGAACUCCGAGUGUAGAGGUGAAAUUCGUAGAUAUUCGGAAGAACACCAGUGGCGAAGGCGACUCACUGGCCCGAUACUGACGCUGAGGCGCGAAAGCGUGGGGAGCAAACAGG
rnacentral:rRNA from 1 species